rnacentral:rRNA from 1 species
UACGAAGGGGGCGAGCGUUGUUCGGAAUUACUGGGCGUAAAGGGCUCGUAGGCGGCCAACUAAGUCGGACGUGAAAUCCCCAGGCUCAACCUGGGAACUGCGUCCGAUACUGGAUGGCUUGAAUCCGGGAGAGGGAUGCAGAAUUCCAGGUGUAGCGGUGAAAUGACGCAGAUAUCAGGAGGAACGCCGGUGGCGAAGGCGGUUCUCUGGGCAUUCCCUGACGCUGAGGAGCGAAAGUGUGGGGAGCGAACAGG